GACGAACGCUGGCGGCGUGGAUUAGGCAUGCAAGUCGAACGGUAUCAUCCUUUCGGGGGUGAGAGAGUGGCGAACUGGUGAGUAACACGUAGGUUAUCUACCCUCAAGACGGGGACAACCCAGGGAAACUUGGGCUAAUACCGGAUGUGAGCAACUUUUAGUUGUUUGAAAGGUGGCGUAAGCUGUCGCUUGGGGAUGAGCCUGCGUCCUAUUAGUUAGUUGGUGAGGUAACGGCUCACCUAGGCAAUGAUAGGUAGGCGGCCUUAACGGGUGGUCGCCCACACUGGGAUUGAGAUACGGCCCAGACUCCUACGGGAGGCAGCAGUCGAGAAUAGUCUACAAUGGUCGGAAGACUGAUAGUGCGACGCCGCGUGAACGAUGAAUCCCUUCGGGGUGUAAAGUUCUUUUAUAUGUGAGCAGUGCUUCUUAUAUUAAGAGUAUGGGGAGAGAGAUAUUAGCAUAUGAAUAAGCAACGGCUAACUCCGUGCCAGCAGCCGCGGUAAUACG
rnacentral:rRNA from 1 species